rnacentral:rRNA from 1 species
CCCCUAGAUGUCCUGGGCCGCACGCGCAAUACAAUGUAAAGUUCAGAAAGCAUAUCCUGUUCCGGAAGGCAAUGGGUAAUCUUUUCAAUAUUUUACGUGUUAGGGAUUGAUCUUUGCAAUUAUAGAUCUUGAACGAGGAAUACCUAGUAAGUGCAGCUCAUCAGGCUGUACUGAUUACGUCCCUGCCCUUUGUACACACCGCCCGUCGCUCCUACCGAUUUCGAGUGGUCCGGUGAAUCUUUUGGAAUUAGAGUGCAAACUCAAACUAAGAUCGAUAAACCUUAUCACUUAGAGGAAGGAGAAGUCGUAACA